GAGACAGCAGUAGCCGCGGUAAUACGGAGGGUGCAAGCGUUAAUCGGAAUUACUGGGCGUAAAGCGCACGCAGGCGGUCUGACAAGUCAGAUGUGAAAUCCCCGGGCUUAACCUGGGAACUGCAUUUGAAACUGUCAGGCUGGAGUCUUGUAGAGGGGGGUGGAAUUUCAGGUGUAGCGGUGAAAUGCGUAGAGAUCUGGAGGAAUACCGGUGGCGAAGGCGGCCCCCUGGACAAAGACUGACGCUCAGGUGCGAAAGCGUGGGGAGCAAACAGGAUUAGAUACCCCUGUAGUCCCUGUCUCUUAUAA
rnacentral:rRNA from 1 species